rnacentral:tRNA from 1 species
UCCCUGGUGGCUCAGACGGUAAAGCGUCUGCCUGCAAUGCGGGAGACCUGGGUUCGAUCCCUGGGUUGGGAA